AGAAUUGCUACCACAAUUUGGCGACGAGGAGGGACAGCUAACCUCUCUUGCUGAUUGCUCCCGAGGAGACCGAGGUUACCUGUGAUCAGGGCUGUGUUAGACAUGGCCCAGGGAGCCGACAAUCCAACUAAAACGGAGAAGAAAUGGACCGGCAGGGAACGGCAGGGAGUGCCAGUGAGUGGAUACGCCAUUCGGGACCUGAGCACUAGGACCUGAGCUCCAGGACUACCUGACAUGAUGACUCCUUGCUGUCCCCAGUCCACCUGGCCAUGCUGCUGUUCCAGUUUCAACUUCCACCUGACUGUGCUGCUGCUCCUGUUUCAACUGUUCUGCCUUAUUAUUAUUCGACCAUGCUGGUCAUUUAUGAACAUUUGAACAUCUUGGCCAUGUUCUGUUAUAAUCUCCACCCGGCACAGCCAGAAGAGGACUGGCCACCCCACAUAGCCUGGUUCCUCUCUAGGUUUCUUCCUAGGUUUUGGCCUUUCUAGGGAGUUUUUCCUAGCCACCGUGCUUCUACACCUGCAUUGCUUGCUGUUUGGGGUUUUAGGCUGGGUUUCUGUACAGCACUUUGAGAUAUCAGCUGAUGUACGAAGGGCUAUAUAAAUACAUUUGAUUUGAUUUGAUAAAUAGAUUCAAAUCGUCUUUGCGGCUCCCAACGUAUUCCAAAACCAAACUUUGGAAAAUUAGGAAAAACAUCUUUCCUUUCAAAUGUUCUAAUAAUGUGCAAGCUAUCAGAGGGGGUAGUCCCCACUCGCCCGCUAAUUAGUGAACCUCCACCCAUAAAUGGAUUGAUCUCUGACCUCAGCAGCGAUAACAACCCUAAUUAUGCCGUUAGCGGAAAAAUAGCAGAUAUGGCGAACAACGCUCUCCAUAAUCAACCAUCGGGCGCAGGCCUCUUAAAGGUUCUCUCUAGUCUAGCCCUGAUGUCUUGCCAUCCGAGAUUGGCAUCAGUCCAAUACCGCAGUGCACAGCUGAAGCAUGAGCAGGUAACGAUAGACAUAAAGGGACAGGUGGAGAGAACCGGUAAACCAAUGACAAAUGUAGAAAGGAGAAAAAUUCUGCUAUCUAUCGAACUGCGUUUGAAAACUGAACAUUUAAAUGUAAUUGUAAAAAAUUAUGAUGAUGAACAAGCACAAACUAUUCAACAAAAUUGUCAACUACAGAAACAAAAUCGUAUGCUCCAGGAACAACUCAAUUUAGCCAAAACUAAAUACGAUGAUGUCCAUGCCAAAAUAGAUACAUUUGAAGAGUUAUCUACACACAGGCGCACUCAACUUGAUAACAUGCAUGCAGUUUUGUUGAACGCUACUCAAAGUAACAAUGUUCUCUUCAACAUGCUGCAGACCAAAGACAAUCCGUUAAGAGGAUGUGAAUGAUGCUGAAUGUGUGUAGACAAAGAAGAGCUCUUCACUAGAUUUCAAAACAUUCAAAGGCCAUUUUCUCAAAAGUGAGUUCACAAGUUUAUCAACUUUUUUACAAAUUUAUCAACUUACAUUUUAUCUAAUGUUAAAAACACAAUUUCAAAUAUUGCAACAUAAGAAAGAAUCCAGGUGGUGAGUCACAUAUUUUCUUGAGAUAUAAAAAAGUAUACUCUCAGGAAGCAUUUUCCUCAGCAGUGCAUGUUUUCUUAUGUGGAAUAAACAAUCGUUAUCAUUGUCAACUUUCUCUGUACUUCUAAACAGGAAUUCACCAAGUAAUUAAACUCAUUAUUUGCACUGAAACUAAAGUGCCUUGAAAGUCCUCACCAAAUACACCAUUUUUUUCAAAUUUUAGUGUUACAAAAUUGUAAUUUUUGAUCAACAAUCUAUACAAAAUACUCUGUCAAAGUGGAAGAUUUCUAAUACAUUUUUGGAAAAGAUUGAUAUUAAUUAAAUAACUGAAAUAUAGUCAUUGCAUAAAUAUUCAACCCCUUGAGAAUAUACAUGUUAGAAACACCUUUGGCAGCGAUUACUGCUGUGAGUCUUCUUGGUUAAGUCUCUAAGAGCUUUACACACCUGUAUUGUGUAUUAUUAACCCUUUAUUAUUUUCAUUUUUCUUCAAUCUCUGUCAAGGCAUUAGUGCUCAUGGCUUACACAGCAAUUUUCAAGCAGAAUUAGGUCAAAACAGUAACUUGCCCACUCAGGCAUAUUCUUCUUGGUAAGCAACUCCAUUGUAGAUUUGACGUGUUGUAGGUUAUUGUCCUGCUGACAAUAAACUGGACAGUUUUAUCUCAAACUCUUCAUUCAAAGACUCAAUCAUGAACGUUCUUACUGACAAUUGUGGCUGUUUUGCCAUAUGUAUUGUUGUCUCUACCUUCUUUCUCUUUGUGCUGUUGUCUGUGCUCAAUAAUUUUUGUACCAUGUUUUGUGCUCCUACCAUGUUGUGUUGCUACCACGCUGUGUUGUCAUGUUGCUGCCUUAGGUCUCUAUGUAGUGUUUUCUCUCUUGUCAUGAUGUGUGUUUUGUCCUAUAUUUAUAUAUAUAUAUAUUUUUUAAUUAUAAUAAUAAUCCCAAACUCCGUCCCCGCAGGAGGUCUUUUGCCUUUUGGUAGGCAGUCAUUGUAAAUACGAACUUGUUCUUAAUUGACCUGCCUAGUUAAAU
ensembl:lncRNA